GUGGUAAUGCCGGAUGCUCCGACUCCUCGCAUGGGGUGUCGGGAAAGAUUUCAUCGGUAUGGGAUGGGGUCGCGUCCUAUCAGGUAGUCGGCGGGGUAACGGCCCACCGAGCCUACGACGGGUAGCCGGCCUGAGAGGGCGACCGGCCACAUUGGGACUGAGAUACGGCCCAGACUCCUACGGGAGGCAGCAGUGGGGAAUAUUGCACAAUGGGCGCAAGCCUGAUGCAGCGACGCCGCGUGCGGGAUGACGGCCUUCGGGUUGUAAACCGCUUUUGAUCGGGAGCAAGCCUUCGGGUGAGUGUACCUUUCGAAUAAGCACCGGCUAACUACGUGCCAGCAGCCGCGGUAAUACGUAGGGUGCAAGCGUUAUCCGGAAUUAUUGGGCGUAAAGGGCUCGUAGGCGGUUCGUCGCGUCCGGUGUGAAAGUCCAUCGCUUAACGGUGGAUCUGCGCCGGGUACGGGCGGGCUGGAGUGCGGUAGGGGAGACUGGAAUUCCCGGUGUAACGGUGGAAUGUGUAGAUAUCGGAAAAGAAC
rnacentral:rRNA from 1 species